rnacentral:rRNA from 1 species
UACGGAAGGUCCGGGCGUUAUCCGGAUUUAUUGGGUUUAAAGGGAGCGCAGGCUGAUGCUUAAGCGUGACGUGAAAUGCCGCGGCUCAACCGUGGAAGUGCGUCGCGAACUGGGUAUCUUGAGUGAGUUCGACGUGUGCGGAAUUCGUGGUGUAGCGGUGAAAUGCUUAGAUAUCACGAAGAACCCCGAUUGCGAAGGCAGCUGACGAGUCCUCUACUGACGCUAAAGCUCGAAGGUGCGGGUAUCGAAC